GUUCUGCAUGGCUCUGUUAACUCGUGACAUUAUUUUACAAUCAUUUACCAAACAUCUGAACAGAAACUCACAUUUCUUUACUACUUUUACCCACCGAAUCUUGAAAUGCAUUUGAGCAAAAUUUGCAAUGCCCCGUUAUUUACUCCAGGCCACACCAGACCUGAGAUCCAGAUCAUUAGUACUUGUCAAAAUAUGGUCUUUAAUUAUUGUGUUCAAUCUUACUUUUGUAGCUGGGACUUCCCCUUAUCUUAUGAAGUGGAAUGAAGGUUUUAUUCUGCUUGGUACUCAGUUUGCAGGAGGAGUGUUCCUGGGCAUUGCUCUGCUGCAGUUUCUUCGUGAUUCGAAUGAGUUUUUUGAUAAGUUGAGCUCAGAUGAUUACCCUUUUGCGUUUGUGCUGGCUGUUUCUGGGUAUUUGUUGACAAUGUUGGCGGAUUGUGUGUGUGUUUAUGUGUACAGAAAGCGAAAAUGUAGAGAGACUGCUGCACAGCAAAGAAAAUCUAACACAAACGUAGCCAGCAGUAGCACUGGGACCUCACAAUCACGCAAUCAGUGACAGGAGUGGCAGGAGAGGCGAGAAAGCCGGAGGUUUUGAUGACGAGAAGCAUAAUUCCAUUGCAGAUAAGGAAUAUGUAGUGUCUGUCAGUAGCGGAGAAGCUCAGAAUUUUGAUGGAAUAUAAAUCAGAAAGAAGUGAAGAGUAUUGGGAAGCUAUGAUGGCUAAUGCAGAAAGUGAAAGCAGGAGUUGAAGUGCCUUGCUUGAGGAAUUGAUUUGGCUAAAAAUUGGGUCCAUUUUUCUCGUUCGGCUCGGACAAAACUCGACUCGGAAAAAGUGUUUCUAUGGAUUGUUACAAGAGAAGAUGGAUGAAGAAUGGAAAUGUGUGAUGCCUUUUCUAAAAUGUUGAGUCACUUAUAUACAGGAAGUUGUGUACAUACUGUACUAGUGUCCAUGACAAGUUUUUCAAGCAUUGUACCCCACUUGGCACAUUUUCAAUAUAUAAUUAUCAAACUUGUCUGGAAAUAUUAUAAUAUCUUUGUCAUUGUCGUGGGAUUUACAUAUUUCUAUCCUACUCAAUAAUGAAUAUAAUAAAU